rnacentral:rRNA from 1 species
UAGUGGCGGACGGGUGAGUAACGCGUGAGAACAUGCCUUUAGAUUGGGGACAACAGUUGGAAACGACUGCUAAUACCGAAUGUGCCUUAGGGUGAAAGAUUUAUUGUCUAGAGAUUGGCUCGCGUCAGAUUAGCUAGUUGGAGUGGUAACGGCACACCAAGGCGACGAUCUGUACUUGGUCUGAGAGGAUGACCAGGCACACUGGAACUGAGACACGGUCCAGACUCCUACGGGAGGCAGCAGUGGGGAAUUUUCCGCAAUGGGCGAAAGCCUGACGGAGCAAUACCGCGUGAGGGAGGACGGCUUUUGGGUUGUAAACCUCUUUUAUCAGGGAAGAAUCGAUGACGGUACCUGAUGAAUCAGCAUCGGCUAACUCCGUGCCAGCAGCCGCGGUAAUACGGAGGAUGCAAGCGUUAUCCGGAAUUAUUGGGCGUAAAGCGUCCGUAGGUGGUUUAUCAAGUCUGCUGUCAAAGCGUGCGGCUUAACCGCAUAAGGGCAGUGGAAACUGAUGAACUAGAGUGCGAUAGGGGUAACAGGAAUUCCCAGUGUAGCGGUGAAAUGCGUAGAUAUUGGGAAGAACACCAGCGGCGAAAGCGUGUUACUGGGUCUGCACUGACACUGAGGGACGAAAGCUAGGGGAGCGAAAGGGAUUAGAUACCCCUGUAGUCCUAGCCGUAAACGAUGACAACUAGGCGUGGUUCGUAUCGACCCGAGCCGUGCCGUAGCCAACGCGUUAAGUUGUCCGCCUGGGGAGUACGCACGCAAGUGUGAAACUCAAAGGAAUUGACGGGGGCCCGCACAAGCGGUGGAGUAUGUGGUUUAAUUCGAUGCAACGCGAAGAACCUUACCAAGGCUUGACAUCCUCGGAACCCUGAUGAAAGUUAGGGGUGCCUUCGGGAGCCGAGAGACAGGUGGUGCAUGGCUGUCGUCAGCUCGUGUCGUGAGAUGUUGGGUUAAGUCCCGCAACGAGCGCAACCCACGUUUUUAGUUGCCAGCAUUCAGUUGGGCACUCUAGAGAGACUGCCGGUGACAAACCGGAGGAAGGUGUGGAUGACGUCAAGUCAGCAUGCCCCAUACGCCUUGGGCUACACACGUACUACAAUGCGUCGGACAAAGAGCAGCCAGCCAGCGAUGGUGAGCCAAUCUCAUAAACCGACGCUCAGUUCAGAUUGCAGGCUGCAACUCGCCUGCAUGAAGGCGGAAUCGCUAGUAAUCGCAGGUCAGCAUACUGCGGUGAAUACGUUCCCGGGCCUUGUACACACCGCCCGUCACACCAUGGGAGUUGGUCACGCCCGAAGUCGUUACUCUAACUGCUUGCAGAGGAGGACGCCGAAGGUGGGGCUGAUGACUGGGGUGAAGUCGUAACAAGGUAGCCG